rnacentral:rRNA from 1 species
GACGAACGCUGGCGGCGGGCUUAACACAUGCAAGUCGAACGGAAAGGCCCUGCUAUUGUGGGGUUCUCGAGUGGCGAAGGGGUGAGUAAGAGGAGAGUAACCUGCUCUUGACUUUGGGAUAACUUCAGGAAACUGGGGCUAAUAUCGGAUAGGAGCUCCUGCUGCAUGGUGGGGGUUGGAAAGUUGCGGCGGUCGGGGAUGGACUCGCGGCUUACCAGCUUGUUGGUGGGGUAGUGGCUUACCAAGGAUUUGACGGGUAGCCCGCCGGAGAGGGUGACCGGCCACCUGGGGCCUGAGAUACGGACCAGACUCGUACAGGGGGCAGCAGUCGGGAGUCUUGCCCAAUGAGCGCACGCGUGAUGAGGCAACGCCGGGUGUGUGAUGACCGCCUUCGGGUUGUGAACCGCUUUCGCCUGUGACGAAGCGUGAGUGACGGUAAUCAGUGAAGAAGCACCGGCUAACUACGUG